rnacentral:rRNA from 1 species
UUGAACGCUGGCGGCAUGCCUUACACAUGCAAGUCGAACGGUAACAGGUUAAGCUGACGAGUGGCGAACGGGUGAGUAAUAUAUCGGAACGUGCCCAGUCGUGGGGGAUAACUGCUCGAAAGAGCAGCUAAUACCGCAUACGACCUGAGGGUGAAAGCGGGGGAUCGCAAGACCCUCGCGCGAUUGGAGCGGCCGAUAUCAGAUUAGGUAGUUGGUGGGGUAAAAGGCCCACCAAGCCAACGAUCUGUAGCUGGUCCGAGAGGGACGACCAGCCACACAUGGGACUGAGACACGGCCCAGACUCCUACGGGAGGCAGCAGUGGGGAAUUUUGGACAAUGGGCGCAAGCCUGAUCCAGCCAUGCCGCGUGCGGGAAGAAGGCCUUCGGGUUGUAAACCGCUUUUGUCAGGGGAAGAAACGCUCUGGGGUUAAUACCUCGGGGUAAUGACGGUACCUGAAGAAUAAGCACCGGCUAACUACGUGCCAGCAGCCGCGGUAAAUACGUUAGGGUGCAAGCGUUUUAAUCGGAAUUACUUGGGCGUAAAGCGUGCGCAGGCGGUUUAUGCAAGACAGAGGUGGGAAUCCCCGGGCUCAACCUGGGAACUGCCUUUGUGACUGCAUAGCUAGAGUACGGUAGAGGGGGGAUGGAAUUCCGCGUGUAGCAGUGAAAUGCGUAGAUAUGCGGAGGAACACCGAUGGCGAAGGCAAUCCCCUGGACCUGUACUGACGCUGAGGAGCGAAAAAGCGUGGGGAGCAAAACAGGAUUAGAUACCCUGGUAGUCCACGCCGGUAAACGUUGGGCACUAGGUGUGGGACUCUAUCGACGGGUUUCCGUGCCGUAGCUAACGCAUUAAGUGCCCCGCCUGGGGAGUACGGCCGCAAGGCUAAAAACUCAAAAGGGAAUUGACGGGGGGCCCGCACAAGCGGCGGAGCAUGUGGCUUAAUUCGAUUGCAACGCGAAGAACCUUACCUGGGCUGAACUAUGCAGGAAAAGCCGUAGAGAUACGGUGGUCCUUCGGGGGUCUGCGAUAGGUGGGUGCAUGGCUGUCGUCAGCUCGUGUCGUGAGAUGUUGGGUUAAGUCCCGCAACGCGAGCGCAACCCCCUAUCCCAUGUUGCCAGCGGGUUAUGCCGGGGGACUCGUGGGAGACUGCCGGUGUUAAAACCGGAGGAAGGCGGGGGAUGACGUCAAGUUCCUCAUGGCCCCUUAUGGUCAGGGCCUAGCACACGUCAUACAAUGGCUAGUACAAGAGGGUUGCCUACCCUGCGAAGGAAGGGAGCUAAUCCCAAUAAAAACUGCAGUUCGUAGUCCGGAUCGUAGUCUGCAACUCGACUGCGUGAAGUCGGAAUCGCUAGUAAUCGCGGAUCAGCAUGUCGCGGUGAAUACGUUUCCCGGGUCCUUGUACACACCGCCCCGUCACACCAUGGGAGCGGGGUUUCUGCCAGAAGUAGUUAGCCUAACCGCAAGGAGGGCGAUUACCACGGCAGGGUUCGUGACUGGGGUG